rnacentral:lncRNA from 1 species
UGGAGUCACAAUAGAAUACUUUUAUCUUUUGUCUCUAAAUGUGCAAGGACCUUUUUCUCAGGUUCCACGUGCCUUGUUCUUAAGGAGUGACUCACUAUGGCCUAAAAAGCAAUGGAAAUCUUCCCAACUGGGGAAAAGUGUGUGGAAGUGGAUCAAAGGCCCAGGUGAGCCUCUGUGACUGAAAUCUUCUGCAAUGAGGGACUGGAGGAGACCUCCGUUCAAGGCACACAGCAAGUGAUUCUCAGGGAGUUUCCCCUUAUCCCGGCUCCAUUGGGACCAGCCACAACUUCCUUGGAGUAUGGUAAAGCUACAUGCUGAAGAAAAAAUUAGUCCUCAUGAAGUUGUGUAUGGAAGACCACUUCAGGUUCAUGGCACAGGUGGUACUAACACCUCUGGAAGUCACAAUACAUCUGUCCAAACUGAUGAGUGGAUGUAUCUAUGGACUCGGAGCUCUGAAGCACUACAGGAGAAGUGGAAAGGACUGUAUCAAAUACUACUGACAACAGAAGCUGCUACCAAGGUGUUAGGAGUAGACUCUUGAAUUCAUUACACAAGAAUAAAAAGCACCUAGCCCACA